rnacentral:lncRNA from 1 species
GGGUGGGUAUGGGGGACAUUUGGGAUAGCAUUCUAAAUGUAAUUGAGGAAAAUACGUAAUAAUAAAAAAUAUUUAAAAAAUCUAAGUUGGUUGUCAUGGAACUGCUCUCUGUGUGAAACUCUUGAAAAUUCUCUGUAGGUAUUUGACUUGUUGAAUGUUUGGGAAUGGCACAUUUUUUCAGUCUCUAACUUUUCUAUAGUUUUGAUGCAAUAGAAACAUGAUUAAGAACACAGCUCCAUGGAGUUAUUGGUGAGGGAGGCCCUAGAGAUGGCCAUAGCAUCACAGUCUAUUUCCAUUGCCUUCUUGUCCAGCAGCGCAAAGUGGGAAGGAAGACCAACUGCUAUAGUCAUCACUUACUUGGAUACAUGACAUAGAAAAAAAUCAAACUGAAGUUUCUUUUUUGCUGGUCAUCAUUCAUAGUACCAGAAGAUGCUAUGAAGAUUCCUAGUGGGGAGCAAAGUCAACACUUAUCUUACCCAGUUGGAAACCCCAUAUAUAAUACUACAGUCAAGAUACACCUACUGGAACAGAAAUGGCAAGGCUGUUUGGGGAAUAACCAUUGCCUUCAAAUUCAACUUCAGGCUUGCUCCAUGGGAGGGACCAUAUACUUGAUACUGUAACCAUGCUUAAAAGUAUAUGGCUGGGGAGGUCACAGGCCUUAGGAGGACAUAGUACUACUGUGCUAAAUAAGCAUGUACUCAAAGCAUAUUUAGUGUUUAUUCUCACAAACCAGUGCUGCUCCAAGCCUGGGUAAGAGAAGCUGCUUUUUGCAGUGGGCAUCAGUGAAUGUAGAGGUGCCAUAGUGUUGAGAAUAGUGACUGCCCAGUGCUCAGCCCCCACGGAAGUAUCUGCAUCACACCAUCAGGGGCCUGGAGAAUGCUAUGAAAGAAGAAACAGAAAUAGCAUAAGAAACAAGGAUGAGGAAGAGCCUAGGCAAUGCUGUUUCCUGCUUAUGACAUGGCCACUGUCGUCAAGACCACAUAGCUCUGUAAGUAAUUGUAUGUGCAAGAUCUGCAACACACACACAUACAUACAUACAUACACACACACACACCACACACACACACACACACACGACUAAAAUCAUCUAAAAUCAACAAAAACAGGAGGAAAAUUAGUUGGAAAGAAAGGGUAAGAAAUAAUGGAAAGUGAUUAAGAUAGGAAUUGAUGGUAACUAUGAUCAGAGUACACUGAACACAUGUAUAAAACUGUUAAAAAGAAAAGCAACAGGAUGGCCCCAGGUCAAUAUUGUUUUGGUUCACGUUAUAGCUUUGCUGCUUACUAGCUGCAAGUGUCUCAUAUGUGCAGCUAAAUGCCCAGUGCCUCAGUUUACACAGUUGUGUAGAAAUAUGAAUAGGAUCUCAUGAUGUGUGAGGAAACAAUAUGUCUGAUUGCAAAGACCUGUCACAAGAAAUCAGUUAAUAAGGUUAGUUUCUAUUGUAAUGUCUGUGGAGACAAGCUAGCAUAAAACAUAAACAGGAUUCUUGGGACUCUCCAAAUUUCAAUGUCUGGCUUCUCUGAUUGAGAACUGUUUAAAUAUUAGUAAGUGAGAUAAUCACACAGCAAGGUAACAUGGGAAGCCGAGAAUGCAAAAAUGAAUGAAGAAUGGUCGGUCCUGUUAUUCAAGUGACAAACCAUAUAGACAAGCCACACAGUGACACAUGAGCACUUACAGCAGCUGGAUUUGCAGUUAUCCAUAAAAGCCUCAUGCAAUUCUAUCUACUGACAUGAAAAUAGAAGUCCAUUAAUUCUGAUAGAUUUGACAUGCUCCCUCCCAUGCACAGCAGGCAGCUGGAGGAUAGAAAACACAUUUACCUCUGCUACACUCAUUGCUCCUCAUUUAAUUCCCAAUGCUAGCAAGAAGGGCACUUCUCCAACACUCUGAAUAACAACUCAGAAAGUACCUUUGAAAUAGUCUUUAAUAGAAAUCAGAACUAUUCUUUCUUUCUUUCUCUUUCUUUCUUUCUUUCUUUCUUUCUUUCUUUCUUUCUUUCUUUCUUUCUUUCUUUCUUUCUUUCUUUCUUUCUUUUUUAUUCUCAUGUCACCAAUCUUCCAGUAAACCGGGGAGGUGAACACCAUGCAUGUUCUCCCCAGUGCUCUCAGUCUUGAUAUUUAAUCCCAGAAGGUUCAAUAUGUGCCAUUGGGAAGUUCUGCAGUCCGCUGUUCAGUGUAACAAGAUUCCAGCCUGGCAAACAUACCAGUCCUAGGACUGCCACCCAACAAAAUGAGACUUAGCUUUCUGAGGAAGCGCUGUCUGUCCAAGGAUGAGCACAGUUCACUAGACAACAGAGAAGGAAUGAAAAUCUGCAGUUUUAGGUGCAGAUUUCAUGGUGUGUCUGUGACCAGCUGACUAGAGAGCUUUUGGUUUAAUCAUGGACUGAACUUGAUUGAACCCCCAUGAUAGUCUUUAGAAAUUAUGCUGUCUGCAUUUUCCACAUAAUUAAGGUUCUGGGUGUUUAGAAGUAUAUUUGCCUAUAUGUUAGUUUCAACUCACUCACUCAUCAUCAUGACAGCCAUUCCUGGACUUAGUGAGCAUUGCGUAUAGCAUCAAAGCUGGGUAACUUGUCUCUUUGAUUAGUAGGAAACAUUGAUGUUAAAUAUACUAAGAAGAUCUAACAUUUUCUUCAGCCUCAAAAUUAAUAUAAUUAUCAUCAGUUCUCCAUGAUCCUUCAUUCAGCUGAGAUGACAAAGUCUCCUAUUUCACAUUUAGCCACCACUGAAAAAACACUAAAAGCUUUUUCUCAGACAGUUAUUCCCACAAAUGUCAGGCUAGCAGACAUGACAUGCUCCAGAAACUCACUUUAAUUUGGGUAACAACUAAGUGCUUGUCAUAUGCCAAGUCACUGGAACUAUUUUCAGCUCAAUUCUGCCAUAAGGAAACCAGCAAGCUGUCCCCAAGCCUUCUUAAUUUGCUUCUUUCCCUCCCCCUAGCAGCACACACCACUUCCCAUCACAAAAGAGGUCUUAGUAGGUUUCAGGUUUCCUGUGAUGUGAUAAGCAUCUCUUUAUUUAAGGUGUGAGAGGCUUCUCCUGCUGCCCUGUUCAGCUUCUUCUUAGAAACAUAAUUCUAUGCCUCUCUGCUAAGAAUGUAUGAAGUUAUUGUAUUAAGAUUUUUUCUGCAAAGAAAAUAAGAUAUCAAGAUGCCAUUCUGAGCAUCAUAUGUGGAUCAUGUGGAAAAGCUCAUGUGUGUGUUCCAAACUUCUGGGAAUGUCUCUGACUUCUUAUGAUAAACUUGGGGAGAUGUUCUGAAGAGUAGGUCUUGAUGUUUCUUCUUUGUCCUUGAGAUGAGAACUAAAUAAAAAAAAUGCCUUCAGUUCAUGUGGUUGAAAAUUGAAUAUGGUCAAUGUUACAACACAUCUAUACCUGCGACACAAGUAUUCACUAUGUGUGAUUUUAUUAGUAGCUUGUGUCUUGGCACUGAAUCUCCACUAUGGCUAAAAUGCCUCCACUACAGUCUAUGAUUGACUGAUUAAGGAGUUUCUGCUACUCCAGUCAAUAUUGGGUCUUUGAGAAAUGCAAGUAAUAUAGAUGGGCAUACAUUGGCGACAGAGCAUAUUCAGAAAGGAAAUUGAGGAAGGAUCUGGUCUUGGGAAAAUGGAUAUUUUAACCCAGUAAUGUGACUCUGGAAUGGAUGAAGUAAAGAAUGCAAGCAGGAAAGACAUCAUUCCAUGAAGAGUUGGGUGGCCACAGCAUCUUGGUAGCAUUGCUCGAAAAUUCUUUAUGGUGCAAUGCCUAAUUUAUGCUGUGAGUGGUGGCACUGGCCAUGUCAGGAGUAUCCAGAUAGGGAUAGUGUUUAGCAUCUUAGGUGUGCUUUACUUCUUAAGUUGGAACUUGAUCCAUCCCAUGGAUUCUGACAGCCAGUGGAUGCUUGUAACUCAUUCAUCUUCUGUUAAGGUAGUAUUACACAUUCAAGCAGAUAUCUGCAAGUCAAGGUAGUUCUUAAACUCUAAGUCUCAUUAUACUAUAUUCUGACCAUUUUGUAAAAUAAAGAACAAAACAAGAGAAAAUUAAAAUAUAUACAAAAUGUAAUCUAUUUUAUUCUUAGAUUAAUUUUUAAUUGAAAAUAGAUUCUUCUCUCACAUGAUACACGCCGACUAGUUUCUUUUCCAUCUACUCUUCCCAGAUUCUGCCAAACUCCACUUUCCCCAAGAUUCAAUUCACUGACAUUUCCUUAAAGAAAAACCAGGCCUCCAAGAGACAAUAGCCAUAGAGAAUAAAGC